rnacentral:misc_RNA from 1 species
AUCGUCUAUGUGGAGAAGGCACUCAGAUCCGAGAUGUUGUGUGCAUCAACCCUCUCGGUGGUGAGACUGUGGAGGUCCUGGAUGACUCUGGUUGUGACGAAUCGACAAAACCGCCCUCCAACCAAACCUGUGAGCUGCGACCCUGUGAUGGCACAGAAUGGGUCACUUCACCGUGGUCUGGGUGUGAACUUCCAUGUUCGUCACGCAUCGAGACCCGGCAGGUGCUCUGCACCAACGAGGAAGGGGUAAUGUUCCCCGAUGAGUACUGCGAUGAUGAGAAGCGGCCCAACACGACCAAACCAUGUGACGAGGAUGACAGUGCCCUGGACGAGCAGUGCCAGUACAUGUGGUACUACUCCCAGUGGAGCCCCUGUUCCACGGAGUGCGGGAAUGGCAUGCAGACCCGCAAGGUGUUCUGUGGCAGCUUCAUCGACGGCAACAUCGUCAAUGUGACGGAUGACAAUUGCAACCCUGCAGAACAACUUAACUCAACUCGAGAGUGUACGGUGGAGGCUGUCUGUAAUGGCACUUGGGUCGCUGCUCCCUGGAAUCAGUGUUCAACGCCCUGCGGUGGUGGUCAGCGCACAAGAACUAUCAUUUGCCACGUCAAUGGGAAACCAGCUGCACCUAAGAAUUGCGAUGUCAGCAAGAAGCCCUUUGACACUGAGUCAUGCAACAUGAAUGCUUGCGACGAAGAUGAAGUGAUCCUCCUGGGAGGCUGCAAGGAUUCUAAGCAUGGCUGCUGUCCUGACGGCAUGACGCCUGCUGGUCCCAGCUUCGCGGGAUGCCCCAAGGUUACUCCUGUCGAAGGUGGCUGCAAGGCUACCGAGUUUGGUUGCUGCUUGGACGGUGUGACCCCGGCAUUUGGGCCAUUUAGGAAGGGCUGUCAACAGCUGUCACUCUGCAACGGCACGGAGUUCGGCUGCUGCCCCGAUGGCGAGACACCAGCUGAGGGCCCCAACAACGAGGGCUGCCUCUUGGCCACAACUGACACAGCCCUUUUUGCCAAUUGCAGCACGGCUGAGUGGGGCUGCUGUCCAGAUGGCAUCACGGCCGCUGAAGAUUCAAACAAAACCAACUGCAUCGAAGUCUUGAAAGCCACGUUCAUCCCGUGCGCCGACUCUCAGUUUGGCUGCUGUCCCGACAACAUGACUGCAGCAGAUGGUCCCAGUGGACUUAACUGCAUCGAGGGCUCGGGCACAGAAGAACCCUGCCAUGGAACGACGCACGGAUGCUGUCCGGACGGCUGGUCUGUGGCCCAGGGACCGAAUAAUGAGGGCUGCCCGCCCUACUUUCAGGUUACGCCGGUUGCCAAUUGCUCUCAGUCAACUCACGGCUGCUGUACAGAUGGCAUGACUGCGGCCGCAGGUCCGGACGGGCUUGGUUGUGAGGACGAAGUCGAAGGGAGCGGGACUGAACCAACUGACUGUGAGAACACAUUGUUUGGCUGCUGCCCGGAUGGCAAGACACCGGCAAGUGGUGCAGGAUUCGAAGGGUGCAGCGACUGCAGCAACACCACCUUUGGUUGCUGCCCCGAUGGCGUGAGCACUGCGACGGGUGAGGCCUUUGAAGGCUGUGCAGAAGGCUGUGAGACCACCAAGUAUGGCUGCUGCCAAGACAAAAUCUCGCCAGCUGAGGGACCUGACUUUGAAGGGUGCGAGAACUGCACGGAGUCGCUGUACGGGUGCUGCGAGGACAAUGUGACCUUUGCUCUGGGACCCGACGGCGAAGGUUGCUGUGUGGUGACCGAGUUUGGCUGUUGCCGUGACAAUGUCACCGCAGCGACAGCUGACGGGUGCAUCUGCAACAUGACAGUACAUGGAUGUUGUCCUGACAACGUUACUGUUGCAUUGGGUCCCGACUUCGAGGGAUGCACCUGUGAGCACCAUGCUUUCGGUUGCUGUCCUGACAAGAAGUCGCCGGCUGAAGGCCCAGACUUUGAGGGCUGUGUCAUCUGCACCAACACGACCUUUGGAUGCUGUCCCGAUGACGUUACUGCAGCAUUGGGACCAAACUUUGAAGGCUGUGAAGGGUACGAGACCAACUGCACAAACACCACAUUUGGCUGCUGCCCCGACGGAGUGCAAGCCGCGGAGGGUGAGAACUUCGCCGGUUGCACCGUGGCAUGCGAGAGCACCCAGUUCGGCUGCUGUCCCGACGGACUGGCUCCAGCUUCUGGCAUUGGUUUCGAGGGGUGCGACAACUGCAGCGAGUCACUCUACGGAUGCUGCGCAGACAACACGUCCUUUGUCCUCGGCCCAGACGGGGAGGGCUGUUGUUUCCACACCGAGUUUGGCUGCUGUCUUGACAACAAGACGGAAGCCCAGGGACCGGACCGGGCAGGCUGCAGCUGCCAUACGACACCACACGGCUGCUGCCCUGAUGGGAUCGCCACUGCUAGUGGCCCCAGGUACUAUGGAUGCACAUGUCACAACUAUCCAUUUGGCUGUUGCCAAGACAAGCACACACCGGCUGGCGGUCCCAACUUUGAAGGGUGCAUCUGCUCUCGUCUGCUGUACGGUUGUUGCCCCGACGAUGUCACUCCCGCUGAGGGUCCUGACAUGGCAGGCUGUCCGUGCCAGAUCACAGAGUUUGGUUGCUGCCUUGACAAACGCACUCCUGCCCGCGGACCCAACCUGGCCGGGUGUGGCUGCGACACCAUGCCUUACGGCUGCUGCCCUGACCAACGAACACCGGCCCGUGGACCUGGCUUUGGUGGCUGCCCAUGCACGGCGAUGCCAUAUGGCUGCUGCCCCGACCAACAUACUGCUGCCCAAGGACCAGAUGGCAGAGGCUGCGAGUGCGAGAAGCUGCUCUAUGGCUGCUGCCCUGAUCGUCUCACACCAGCCACAGGCCCCAGCCUGACUGGCUGUACGUGCCACCAUUACCCUCACGGGUGCUGCCCUGACGGACAAACUCCUGCUCGAGGUCCUGAAUAUGAUGGCUGCACCUGUGCCAUGACAGCCUACGGCUGCUGCCCCGACGGGGUCACUGCCGCCAGGGGGCGCAAUUUUGAAGGCUGCCAAGAUACAACGUUCGUGUCUACCCCCAACGUCAGCGCCAGUGUGUGUGGCCUACCCGAAGAGCGUGGCCCCUGUCACAACUAUACGGUCUACUGGUUCUUCAGCAUCACCGAUGGUCGCUGCAACCGCUUCUGGUACGGUGGUUGUGAGGGCAAUGGAAACCGGUUCAACUCAGAGGAAGAAUGCAAGAACACCUGCGUCACACCUGAAGGACCUGAUGCCUGCCUGCUUCCAAAGGUGAUUGGUACAUGCGACGGCCAGUACCAGCAUUGGUACUUUGACGCGACCACUCGCUCCUGCGAGUCGUUCAUGUACGGAGGUUGCCUCGGAAACAACAACCGCUUUGCCAGCAAAGACCUAUGCGAGCAGACCUGCCUGCACCAGGAGAAGCUUGACCCGUGUGAGCAGUCGGCAGCACCUGGACCAUGCAGGGGCUCGUACAAGCGGUUCUACUACGACCGGCAGGACAACCAGUGCAAGCGGUUCACGUAUGGUGGUUGCCAGGGAAACGCAAACAACUUUGCCACAGAAGAGGAGUGCUCAGAAAAAUGCGUCAGACUUAGUGCACAGGAAAUCUGCAUCCUCGCCAAGGAAGAAGGCCGCUGCCUCUCGGAGGACCGCAAGUGGUACUAUGACUAUGUGGAAGGACGAUGCAAGGAGUUUGUCUACACGGGUUGCCAGGGCAACCGCAACCGCUUUAACACACGCGACCAGUGCGAGCGCAUGUGCAACUCUACCAGAGUCGCUGUGUCCCGUGACAUCUGCGCCCUGCCGAAGGAAGAGGGUCCAUGUCGGGCAGCCAUCCUGCACUGGCACUACAACAUGGCGGCUGGGCGCUGCGAGCAGUUCUACUAUGGUGGCUGUGAGGGCAAUGCCAACCGGUUUGAGUCGCGGCGUGACUGUGAGCGUGCCUGCCUCUCCGUUGGAAGUCGAAACAUCUGCUUGCUGCCGCAAGAGGCCGGAAACUGCGUGGAGUUCCGCGAGCGGUGGUUCUACAAUGCGGAGGAAGGUCGCUGCCACCGUUUCUACUACGGAGGCUGCGACGGAAAUGAGAACAACUUUGCCUCACACCUGGAGUGUGAACAGACGUGCAGACAGCCUGCUCCAACUGAGGAACCUGAGGAAGAGUUCCGACACGAGUUCUGCUUCAUGCCGAGUGAGGCAGGCCCCUGCACCAACAUGGAGGUGCGCUGGUUCUAUGACAAGCAGGAUGGCGUGUGCCGUGAGUUCUACUAUGGUGGCUGCCUUGGCAAUCGGAACCGCUUCCGGUCCCGUAGGGACUGUGAGGACCGCUGCUUCAGUUCUCAAGACCUGUGCUUGUUGCCGAGAGUGCAAGGCCCGUGCAGUGGCACGUUCACCCAGUGGUUCUACGAUCCCGAGACGGACCGGUGCCAUGAGUUCACGUACGGUGGUUGCCAGGGCAAUGCCAACCGCUUCAACGACCGUGAAGCCUGCGAGAAUCAGUGCCGCAAGGGGGUGCCAGUGCCUACAGAGCCACCCAUUGAGCGCCCCACGCCCGUUGAUGUGUGCACACUCCCGAAACAGCCUGGACCGUGCUAUGGCUUGCUGAUGAUGUGGUACUUUGACACUGCAACUCGUGAGUGCCGCAGCUUUACCUACGGAGGCUGCGAGGGCAACGACAAUCGCUUUGAGUCUCGGGAGCUCUGUGAACAACGCUGUGGCCGCCAUGAUGCAGGGCCAGCCGUAGAACCACCCACCCGGCAUCCCACUAAGCCUAGGCAUGUUAGAAAAGGCAUAUGCAAGAAAACGGUUGACCCCGGCGACUGCAACGACGCGCAUGAACGGUGGUUCUACGACGCACAGACCGGCGUCUGCCUGCAAUUCGUGUACACUGGCUGUGGAGGCAAUAAGAACCGGUUCAAGUCGGCCGAAAUCUGCAUGAAGUUCUGCUCUGGGGUUACAAAGGACACCCCCGAAAACGAAAUCAGUGAACCCGACUUGGACGGCGGUAAACAGAUGCCACCAUCUUCUCGGAAGCCCGAGGGAUCGGACGAGGAGUUGGACCCACGUGUUAAGCCACCGAUGGCGGUCACGCCGUUUCCGGCACUGUUUCCGUUGACACCAGCAGCUCCACCACAGACACCAGCACCGGAGUGCCUCCCGUCAAACUGCGAGGACCUGCACUGUCCCCUUGGGAAGAACCAGACGGUGGACCACCGUGGUUGUGUCCAAUGCCGCUGCAGCAACCCUUGCGAAACCUUUUCGUGCCACGAAGAAGAGCUUUGCAGGAUUGAGGCAUAUCGAAGUGCCGACGGCAGCGCCAACUAUCGUCCUGUGUGUCGCCUUGUGAACAAGCCUGGCCACUGCCCCGUAGCCGAAGUCGAGGCACAACCUGCAGCCGUGGUCCGAGCCGACUGCCGAGAUGUUUGCCGAGUGGACGCCGACUGUCCCGACGUCCGCAAGUGCUGCUACAAUGGCUGCGCUCACGUCUGUGUUCAGGCUGUUGUUACUGAAAGUACCACCUCACAUGUGUCCACAACGACGCAGACUCCAAUUCUAACUCCUGAGCCAACAAAUGAAGACCUGUCACCGCCCGUGCACCGUCCGGCAGAAAUGGCAGCACACGCAAAGCCCGAGGUGACAGCCAACGCCGGCUCUGACGUGACACUGUCGUGCCUCGACCGGCCGUUCCUGAUAGUGUCUGUCACGUGGACCUUCCGUGAUGAGUCGGUUGAGAGCAAUGAGGGGCGCUUCAAGAUCUUGGUCGAUGGCUCGUUGCACAUCUCCCAGCUCACGGGCGACGACGCAGGCCCCUACCGGUGCACUGCCGAUGACGGGCGCCAGAAGGUGUCACAUGUCACCAACCUUGUUGUGUUCGUGCCUGCUACAAUCAAGCCCUCGAGCGCGACGGUGACCGUGACUGUGUCAAGCACGGCACGACUGUUAUGCUUGGCCGUUGGCCACCCGACUCCCAUCGUACAGUGGUACCGGCACGGCAAGCAGCUGCCACAGCGGAGCGCGCGCUACGCCAUCCUAGCAGACUUCACGCUCGCCAUCCAAAACGUCACGCUCGAAGACGAGGACAUUUACAUGUGCCGCGCGUACAACUACUACGGCCAGCCAGCCGUCUGGAAGGUGUCCCUCUCCGUGCUGCCAUUGAGUCGGGAGCCGGCAGUGCCGGGACGCCGCCGGCGCCGCGGUCAUGGCUCACGGGGUUCAUCAUUCCGGCGUACAGGCAGGAAAAUAUAUCUGACCGGCAACGAGGUCGUGACAGUCGACGUGGUGAUAGCUACCAGCGAGAACCGUGUGGGGGCACCUCUGCAGCUUGAUUGCUACGUGACUGGUGCUCCCGAGCCACGUGUCUCCUGGCUGCAUGACAGCAAGCAAGUCGAAACAGACAGCCAUCACGUUGUCAUGGAGAACCACACGCUGUUGAUUCCAUCAGCGGCGAUGUCAGACGGGGGUGAAUACUCCUGUCAAGCGGACAAUGGCCACAGCAAUGAAUCUGUCUCGGUUCACAUCAUCAUGGACGAUAUCUAUGUUCCGGAGUCGUGCACUGACAACCCCCGCUUUGCGAACUGCAACCUCAUUGUGCGUGCUCGUUACUGCACAAACAAGCACUACUCAAGGUUCUGUUGCCGUUCAUGCAUGCUUGCUGGCCAAAUUCAUGCUGAUGGCAAUGGGUAUACCAACGGCAAUGGUAAUGGCAAUGGAUACGGCAAUGGAUACGGCAAUGGUUAUGGAAACGGCUUCAGCAAUGGUAAUGGCUUCGGCAAUGGCUACAUCAACGGAUACAGCAACGGAAAUGGUCAUACCAAUGGGUACAGGAAUUUCACUGGAAACGGGAAUGGAAAUGGCAAGGCUAAUGAACUUGCCUAAGCAAAUGUUGUAGAUUCUGCAACUCAGGGUUGUUAUAUUGCUUUCCCAGUCUUUUCGUAUUCGAUUUUCAGUGGUCUAAACUCUCUUCAGAGUUUGCAAUGACUCUUUUUUUCUUUACACAUAUUCUGGUGAUUGUGGCACUUAGUGCAUGUGCCUUAUCAUAGAAGUGGGUGUUUAUACAAUCACAUCAUCUUGUUGUUAACAAGAUAUUUCGUUCUGGCCUCAAUAGAGAGUGUAGUGUCAACACAUUUGCCAGGACUGAAUGCAAACAUCUUUGGUUGAGACUUGUCAAAGUGCCAUCUGAAAGAAAUGCAAAAUUCUCAGCCUUAGGAACAGCACCAGGUUGAUAAUCAAAACUGAUUGCGCAAGAUGCAACAUCCUCAGCCUCAGGAACAAGAUCACAUCGAUCUAAUGAACACUUAUUUCUUAACAUCACUUGCAAUCUUUACACUGAUGUCUUAAGAAUUUAUAUUUCAUUGUCUCGUGUAAUUAAUUAUUCCCUAGGUGUGACAUAGUUCCACAGGCUGUUGUGUUCAUUUGUACUACUUUGAGAAAUGCAUUGGCCUGGCGAUAAGCUGAUGUCAGCUUAGUACGAUGGCAUUUGCAUAGUGCGAUCAUUUUCCCAAUUACAUGGUUCCUGACCUUGUUUUCACCAUUUUCUUACACGUAUUGCUUUAACACAGCAUUACCUUGCAGAAGUCAUAUGGCUUUGUGUGCAAUACGUCAAGCCUCAGAAACAAAAAACUAAAAACAAAAGGCAUUGCCAUGCAAUAAUAAGUUAAAUCAAAGAGUGGCAUAUCAUUACUUGCGGCAUGUGCACUUUCAAGAAAAGAGUUGCUGCUGAAGCAUCAAUGAAGAACUGAGGGCAUGCAAGAAAUGAAUGCUACUUAUUUUUUUCUCCUUUGUUUAUCAUAUACAUACAUGAGUUGUGCUUAAUAUGCAAAUUCCUUUAGUGACAAGAGCUGUUACUUAAUUCGAGCUUGUGGCCUACUUGUCAUUAUAAACGUGCCUAUACAGCCAUUUGUGCCAUUUCUAAAGGGUACUUGUUACUUGUGACAGAGUUCCUACCGAAAGCGUUGUGCUUUGAUGUUGCCAAACAACUUUCAUUAUGUAAUGGGCAGGAAUGGGGCUUUAUGAAGGCUGUUUACAAAAGUCUGCUGAUAAGACUUGCGUUUUAAGCAUAGCAAUCAUUUCUUGACUCGUGCAGCAAGAACUUCAGCAGAUACCGAUGGCCACCUUAUUUGUGGUCAGUGCUGUAUUACGCCUACAAGUUACGCUCCCCACAUGGUGUGUUCAACUUGCUGUGCUCGUUUCGCAAAACACUGGUUUUUAAGCCCAGUGGCCACGGACAACAUGCAUGUGCCGGUAAUGUUACUCGCAUACUGCCAAACCUUGAUUGCGUGUCUCGUUUUUUGCCCAUGGUUUUGUCAGGGUGAGUUCCGCUGGGCGAUCUGGAAGAGUUGCGUGAAUCCGUAAAGUGAGUGUGCGGGCAUGCAUCUUGACAUGCCAGACACUCAACAUGGCAGAAAUGCUCCACACCAGAUCAAAGCGUAGGUCAUUGGUUACAUUGAAGCAACUUACGGUGAUGGAACCCCUGUGACCGUGCUUUGUUAUAAUUUGACUAUACCGCUGUCACCUGCUUUAUUGAAAGGCUCGUUGAAUAAUCGUCGACAUAGCUUGAGCCUCGAAAGCAGCAAGUGCAGCUGCAGUGUGAAAAAGCAGUACAUAUCUUGCACAACUGCUUACAUAUAGUAGUAAAAUGAAGCAAACUGAUCCUCUCAGCUGGUGGAAGUAACACGGCAUUCCUUUGACGUUUCGGCCAAGUCUGUGCCUCAAUGAUAAAGGAAAGAAGCGAUCGGCUGUGGAAGAGUAAUUCAAUUAGAGAAUAACAGUAGUGAACAUGAACUCAUUCUGAGUACAGUCAUGAAAAAAGCAAAUCUUGUGCCACAGAAUGCAAGGAAUCUGCCCCUUCUGGAUUGACCUGUGGAAUGCGCCAUCACUUUUGCAAUACUAUAUACCCAACACUGCCAGUGUGUCAUAUUACAAGAUGCUCUAGUCUGUCACCACCACCUCUCCAAUGCAUUCCACGAGAGAUGAGCAUGGAACAGCAUUUGUGUGUGUGUUUUUUUUUGUAUGUGUCUGUGUUGUCCUUCCAGUAGUGUCCCUUGCGCAGUGACAUUGUUUUGGAUUUUGUUCACUCUCUGGGAGCAAUUUUUCAAGUAGCCUGCAAAACAGGACUUUGUGCUUUUUAUACUGGUUUACUUCAUUUUAAAAACUUUAAUCUCACUUUCAGUUUUUUACUUCACCCUUUGCUCAUCCUAAUGCUGCCCAAACUUGUGUGUAGGUGGGAUCGUAAGAUCCGUGCAAUUUCGCCCCAUGAUCAUGAGCUCAAAGUUCGAAGUCAGCAAACCUUGCCAGUUGCCAAUCCUCUUUCUCAUCAUUUACAGUGACUGCACUCCAGCCAGAGUUAAGUGCUCUUGUUAUAUGGUCUUGUAGUACUUAUGUGAGUGGUGCAGUCACAUGCGCAUGAAACACUUUGCAGUGCAGUCACUAAAAUGUGCGUGGAGAAGACCAUGAGCUUGCUUGCAUGCAAAGGGUAUCUUAAUGCAUUCUUCCUAAGAACAGCCGGGUCAUUGUCAUACAGUUUUAUUGUCUGUUGCCAAAUUGUGAACAAUCUAGCGCAGUAGGUAAUCUCCACUUGUAAGGCUUCUAUGCUGUUCCUCAAUGCUGCACCUAAUUUCACAACAGCGCCGUUAAUCUACCACAAGACCACGAAAUUCAAUUGGGCUGUUGCAGUAGUGUUUUAGCAAAGCACAUUUGUGCAACAAUGUGCACAAAAUGGAGCAUGUACUUUUCUACCCAACACACAGUGUCUGCGCACGGCUUCUGUUCCAACUAUUUGCAGCAUUUACUAUUUUAGGUUAACGUUCCUUUUUAACUAUUUCUCCUAAAACAAGAGAGAGAUUCACAGCCUGUUUGUCUACAUUGAAAGGUACUUUGGAAAACUGCAUUUUCUCACUGGAGAAAUAUUUUUAUUAGUAGAGGAAAUGAUGGCCAGUGUUUCUUUUUAUCGAAUAUUGCACUCAAACCAUGGUGGCAAUGAGAUUCUUUUGAUGCCAAUUGCUUCAUGGUAUUUUUGCAUGUUUAGUGGGGUUAUUUUUUACCACAAUAUGACCUGAAAGUUCUGAGGCUGCCUUUUCUUUUUUUCCCGGGUGUCUUCAUAUACACUGGUUUAUUUGCCUUGGCUUUGACCAGACAAUGCCAGAACAUAUGAUAUCGCAGGAAGCUUGUGAGGAAACAUCAAAGUAGCAUUACUGUGUGCCUCACUUUCACAUAAUUUCUGGUUGCCAAACCUGCCAUCACUGUAAGACUGGCCUAGUAUGUAUUUGCAGUUCCAGAAGUGGAAUGUAUGAGUCAAGUUUGGGUUUCUUUUUUCAGAAGCCACUGUACUGUUUGUUGAAGCCUGAUGUAAGCAAAUCUCAUUGCAGGUGUCUGCACAGGCACAAACAUUACAAUGCAGUGAUGUAACGCAACAGUGAAAGAAAUUCAGAUUGUAAGAUCUGAAUGAUUUCAAGCAAAGCUAUGCGCCAUUUCAUCUCUGGCACACAGCUUGCUUCAGGCCACAUGGAAAGACACAGUAUCAUUGUUUUAUACGUUCUGCCUUACUGUACAGUAUUAUUUCUUUCUUGGCAGUCUUUUCGCCAAACAAGCUGCAGUGUUGCACUCUGUUGCGUCAUUGCAAGUCUUGCACUGUUUUGACAGUAUUGUUUCCAUAAAUCAUAUUUAACUGUACUUGGGCAUUGGCGCUUUUAUGCACAAAUGUCUUUCUCUUUUUGUGUGGGACAAGUGCUUUCGCAUGUUUGUGUAACCGUCUCGUCUUGUACAUAUAAAAAAUGAAUUGGCAGUAUA